rnacentral:rRNA from 1 species
GCAGUUGUUCAUCCUCUCAUUGAUUGGAUCCAGUCUUCUGAGAAUUAGUAUUCAAUCUGCUGCAGAUCUUUUGAGAAACACAAAAGAGGAUCCGAUGUAAUACAAAAGGAGCAUGAUCCAUUUUAUUCCAGAGUAUUUCUUGUGGAUAAGUGGCGGAGGGCGGAGGCCACGGUACACAUGAUGUUCUUGGUCACCGACCAUCCUCUAGGUGUUGACCUGAAUAGCAUCGAUGGCCAAGGGUGCAGCGCAAAGAUGACAGCGGCCGAUGGUGGUCUGACCUCCUGUAAUCAAGCACAUGUCGUGACGCAAACUUGAACGUGUUCACAUAGCCACCACUGAUGCAUAUACAUGAAUGCUUUAUCAUGUACUGUAUGAAUGGAAC